AGUGAACGCUGGCGGUAGGCCUAACACAUGCAAGUCGAACGGCAGCACAGUGAGAGCUUGCUCUUACGGGUGGCGAGUGGCGGACGGGUGAGGAAUACAUCGGAAUCUACUUUUUCGUGGGGGAUGACGUAGGGAAACUUACGCUAAUACCGCAUACGACCUACGGGUGAAAGCAGGGGAUCUUCGGACCUUGCGCGAUUGAAUGAGCCGAUGUCGGAUUAGCUAGUUGGCGGGGUAAAGGCCCACCAAGGCGACGAUCCGUAGCUGGUCUGAGAGGAUGAUCAGCCACACUGGAACUGAGACACGGUCCAGACUCCUACGGGAGGCAGCAGUGGGGAAUAUUGGACAAUGGGCGCAAGCCUGAUCCAGCAAUACCGCGUGGGUGAAGAAGGCCUUCGGGUUGUAAAACCCUUUUGUUGGGAAAGAAAAGCAGCAGGUUAAUACCCCGCUGUUCUGACGGUACCCAAAGAAUAAGCACCGGCUAACUUCGUG
rnacentral:rRNA from 1 species